rnacentral:lncRNA from 1 species
CCUCAGUCUCUGUCAACUAAAUUCUUAAAAGAGUGUCCAUGUAUUUCAAAGUAUUGUCUGUGGUUAGGAAGCUUUUAAAAGGAGCCAAUACUGAGAGAAAAGAAAAUCACAAAUCAUGAGAAAUCUGAAUUCCCCAGAAUAGUUACCUCCUGGUCAGUCAUCCGGAAGCAAUUCUUCACAUAAUUAAUGAACUUGGCUUCCACUUUGGGAAGAGAACCACCCUGUUGAGAAAAACACAUUUAAGAUAACUAUAGAACCAUUUUUUAGAGAUAUGAGCUAAGUUCUUAAAGAUCUACACUGUUUGAUGUACCUUACCCCUUCACCAUUGUCAUUUUUAGGCCUGGAAAUACUUGGGCAGCACGUCAGGACCAUGGCUUUUCAAGUAACCCCAAAGUUUGCUUAAGGUUGAAAUCAUCCCAACAGCCACUGGAGAAAUUUCGACAAAAUCUUAUAAUUGAGAUUCUACAGGCAAACAAAUACAGCAACUUGGCUACCUGUCUAUAUUACCUAAUAUAUGUUUUAUUACAACCCUUUAUAAUCCAGAACCAAAUACACAAACAUGCCCUGCUUUUGAGAACCAUGUCACAAAUGACAAAAAGUGUUUAAAAAAACAGUAUUACCUCAGCAUCAAUUCAGAGGCCAUAUGAAGGUGAAUGGGUAAGAUCAGUAGUAACUACAACUUGACUCAUCAACAUGUCCUUCAAUUAUGAAACUACGGGAAAACUAAUAGCAUCAGCAAUGCCAUAGAUUUUGUCAGCAGAAGACAUUUUAUUGCAAACACUAUGAAGUUCACAUUCAUCACUUGGAAUUGUAUAGUGUAUUUCACUUGUGUCAUAUUCUAACAAUUUUAAUAUAUCCCCUGUAUCCUAUCUUUUGCACUUCUAUUGAAGAUUAAGGUUUUCAAAUGCCAAAGAACUAUACCAGAAAGAGCUAUGGCAUAUUUAACUGCCCCAUCACUUAGUAAAUAAACCACUCCAAUAUUUUUCAUUCUAAAAUUGUCACAUACAUCCUUAUUUGAUUCAUUCAAAUAUUUAUUGAGCAGCUAAGAAAUACAAAGGUAAUUAAAACAAGAGAUGAGGCAUAUGCACAACAGAAAGCAUUAUGUAAGGUUCACUGAAUCACAGCAGUCAAAAAAGUAAAGGAAAAAAGGGUGCUUUAGGGAAAAGAUUCCUUCCAGCUUGGAAGAGGGUCUGAGUGGCAAAUCAGGAAAGGGGAUUGAGAUUAAAAUAGAAGACUUCAGUCUGGAUUGUUGAUGAUACUCAGAAUGGACUAUUAUUUGUCUCUCCUUUUCCUUUCUCCCCAUCUUUGGGCUUAAAUUUAUCAGUAGUGCCCAGGACUGUUCAAUGCGCCUGCAAUUAAAUCAAGGAAAUAGGACCAUAUUAAAACGAGGGGGCAUCAUUUUAGCACUGCAUGUAAGGGAUAAAAAUAAAUCAGUAACACCUGGAAGGCUAAAAGGUUUACAGUGUGACUAAAGCAAAAGAAAUACAUUGUUACUACAAUGUUUAUUUUCCAAUCCACUCAUUACUCCACAAAGAAAUCUUCAUGGAGUUCACACAGGAAAAACAUGGGGAAAGGAGUUGGCACAUUUUCCUCAACAUUACAUUUAUUC